AGAGUUUGAUCAUGGCUCAGAUUGAACGCUGGCGGCAGGCCUAACACAUGCAAGUCGAGCGGUAGCACAGAGAGCUUGCUCUCGGGUGACGAGCGGCGGACGGGUGAGUAAUGUCUGGGAAACUGCCUGAUGGAGGGGGAUAACUACUGGAAACGGUAGCUAAUACCGCAUAAUGUCGCAAGACCAAAGUGGGGGACCUUCGGGCCUCAUGCCAUCAGAUGUGCCCAGAUGGGAUUAGCUAGUAGGUGAGGUAACGGCUCACCUAGGCGACGAUCCCUAGCUGGUCUGAGAGGAUGACCAGCCACACUGGAACUGAGACACGGUCCAGACUCCUACGGGAGGCAGCAGUGGGGAAUAUUGCACAAUGGGCGCAAGCCUGAUGCAGCCAUGCCGCGUGUGUGAAGAAGGCCUUCGGGUUGUAAAGUACUUUCAGCGGGGAGGAAGGCGAUAAGGUUAAUAACCUUGUCGAUUGACGUUACCCGCAGAAGAAGCACCGGCUAACUCCGUGCCAGCAGCCGCGGUAAUACGGAGGGUGCAAGCGUUAAUCGGAAUUACUGGGCGUAAAGCGCACGCAGGCGGUCUGUCAAGUCGGAUGUGAAAUCCCCGGGCUCAACCUGGGAACUGCAUUCGAAACUGGCAGGCUAGAGUCUUGUAGAGGGGGGUAGAAUUCCAGGUGUAGCGGUGAAAUGCGUAGAGAUCUGGAGGAAUACCGGUGGCGAAGGCGGCCCCCUGGACAAAGACUGACGCUCAGGUGCGAAAGCGUGGGGAGCAAACAGGAUUAGAUACCCUGGUAGUCCACGCCGUAAACGAUGUCGAUUUGGAGGUUGUGCCCUUGAGGCGUGGCUUCCGGAGCUAACGCGUUAAAUCGACCGCCUGGGGAGUACGGCCGCAAGGUUAAAACUCAAAUGAAUUGACGGGGGCCCGCACAAGCGGUGGAGCAUGUGGUUUAAUUCGAUGCAACGCGAAGAACCUUACCUGGUCUUGACAUCCACAGAACUUAGCAGAGAUGCUUUGGUGCCUUCGGGAACUGUGAGACAGGUGCUGCAUGGCUGUCGUCAGCUCGUGUUGUGAAAUGUUGGGUUAAGUCCCGCAACGAGCGCAACCCUUAUCCUUUGUUGCCAGCGGUUAGGCCGGGAACUCAAAGGAGACUGCCAGUGAUAAACUGGAGGAAGGUGGGGAUGACGUCAAGUCAUCAUGGCCCUUACGACCAGGGCUACACACGUGCUACAAUGGCAUAUACAAAGAGAAGCGACCUCGCGAGAGCAAGCGGACCUCAUAAAGUAUGUCGUAGUCCGGAUUGGAGUCUGCAACUCGACUCCAUGAAGUCGGAAUCGCUAGUAAUCGUAGAUCAGAAUGCUACGGUGAAUACGUUCCCGGGCCUUGUACACACCGCCCGUCACACCAUGGGAGUGGGUUGCAAAAGAAGUAGGUAGCUUAACCUUCGGGAGGGCGCUUACCACUUUGUGAUUCAUGACUGGGGUGAAGUCGUAACAAGGUAACCGUAGGGGAACCUGCGGUUGGAUCACCU
rnacentral:rRNA from 1 species